UCUGGAUCGAUGGUGCUCGUCAGGGCGGGUCUAUUGAGCCCAAACACGAUGGAGUUAUAAUGGGUGGAUUAGGAGUUCUGGUGACCAACUCCUGACUCCAUCAUGAGACCCUGUAAGUCA
rnacentral:sRNA from 1 species